CAGCUCCCCACAGAAGCCAUUAUUAACCAUUAUUAAGAAUUUCUUACAAUUGCGUCUGGGCACAUGAGAAGUACACACAGCCUCACACAAUGCCUGACAGCAAGCUGGUGUCCCAGGAAGGGGGAGUUCUGCAUGGAUCGACGCCAAUACCUUGGAACACCAUUCACAUGCAGGACUUUCUUAAUCAAGUUGGAACUUCUCAAGACCCUCCUGGGAACAAGAAAUCGUCCUCUCGUUGGGGUGUGGUCAGAAAGUAAGGUACAGACGAUGAGCCAGAUCAGGAGAAAUUCAAGGAUGGUGCUGGCAUGCUGUUGACAAAACACUCACACUCCUGCUGUUUAAGUUGCCGGGUUCUAUGCGGAGGAG
rnacentral:lncRNA from 1 species